rnacentral:lncRNA from 1 species
UUGGAUUGUGUCUCCCUUAUGGUAGUUAUUUAUGAUAGUUACUGUCUGAUAUUAUUGCAUGCUAUUUUAUUUAUGGUUCUUAUGUUUAGAUAAUUAGUUACGCUAUCUCUGCUGGAGUUACUAAUGCACUGUUUUUGUUUUUCCUUUCCUUCACUGAGCCGAGGGUCGAUUGGAAACAACUUCUCUGCCCUUCGGGUAGGGGUAAGGCCCGUUUACAUAUUACCCUCCCCAGACCUCACUUUGUGGGACUAUACUAGGUAGUAGUUGUCGUUCAAUAUAUGCAAUGCAAUUAUGCCACACAGGGACUUGCUCAUUGUUGUGAAUGCAAAGAGGGACGAUGAUCUUAUGGUAUAUUGCUCACAAGUCUAAAAGCGAGUAGGAGCUUAAAGCUUGGUUUCGCCAAACUAGACAAGCACGGGCAUGAGCGACUAGGAGAUGAUAAGAGGUCCACUGAUUGUUCACUUCUGAAUUAUUGAGAAAAAUAAAAGGCAACGAAUAGAACUUGAAAUUUGUAUGAUGAAGCGUUUUGUAUUAAUUUUACUAAUUGUGCAUUGCAUACUCUUUCACACGCUUUCACCGGUAGGUAGCUUCACAUGGAAGAUGUGUCUAUUUGAUUAGAAUACUCAAGUUUGUGCAAAAUGUAAAUACAUUUGAUUUUAUUCCCUUUAAUUAAUUGAUAUUAGAUAUAAUAAUAUUAACAUAAA